rnacentral:rRNA from 1 species
GAUGAACGCUGGCGGCGUGCCUAAUACAUGCAAGUCGAGCGAACGGACGAGAAGCUUGCUUCUCUGAUGUUAGCGGCGGACGGGUGAGUAACACGUGGAUAACCUACCUAUAAGACUGGGAUAACUUCGGGAAACCGGAGCUAAUACCGGAUAAUAUUUUGAACCGCAUGGUUCAAAAGUGAAAGGCGGUCUUGCUGUCACUUAUAGAUGGAUCCGCGCUUCAUUAGCUAGUUGGUAAGGUAACGGCUUACCAAGGCAACGAUGCAUAGCCGACCUGAGAGGGUGAUCGGCCACACUGGAACUGAGACACGGUCCAGACACCUACGGGAGGCAGCAGUAGGGAAUCUUCCGCAAUGGGCGAAAGCCUGACGGAGCAACGCCGCGUGAGUGAUGAAGGUCUUCGGAUCGUAAAACUCUGUUAUUAGGGAAGAACAUAUGUGUAAGUAACUGUGCACAUCUUGACGGUACCUAAUCAGAAAGCCACGGCUAACUACGUG